rnacentral:piRNA from 1 species
GAGGUGAGGAGCAUCUCUGCCCGGCAGCCGCC